rnacentral:rRNA from 1 species
ACGGCAGCACGGGAGACAUCCUGGUGGCGGGUGACGAACGGGUGACUCAUAUUUCCGAACGUGCCCAGUCGGGAGGAAUAACGCAAAAUAACCUGUGCUAAGUACCGAAUGCCAUCUCUGGAUGAAAGCGGAGGACUCGCAAUGGCCUCGCGCGAUUGGAGCGACCGAUAUCAGAUUAGGAAGUUGGUGUGGAAAAAGCUCACCAAGCCGACUAUCUGUAGCUGGUCUGACACGACGACCAGCCACGCUGGAACUGACACCCGCCCCAGACUCCUACGGGAAGUAGCAGUGGGUAAUUGUGGACAAUGCGCGCAACCCUCACCCCCCAAUGGCGCGAGCAAGAUGAAGGCCUUCGGGUUGUAAACUGCUUAUGAACGGAACGAAACCGUCAGCUUUAGUACCGUGGGCUAAUGACGGGACCGUAUGAAUGACCCCCGGCUAACUACGUGCCAGCAGCCGCGGUAAGACCUAAGGUGCGAGCGUUAAUCGGAAUUACUGCGGCUAAAGCGUGCGCUGGCGGUUAUAUAAGACAAACGUGAAAUCCCCAGGUUCAACCUGAGACCUGGAUUUGAGACUGAAUAGCUCGAGUACGAUAGAGGGGGAUGGAAUUCCUCGUGUACCAGUGAAAUGCCUAAAUAUGCGGACGAAC